AGCACGAAGGAUUUGUUGCAAGUUCGAGAGUUUGACGGAAGCCCGAAGGUUCAUCGGGAAUGCUGCCGGAACUAGCCGAGAAUGAGUAAGGGAGCUUGCCGAAGGGUUUUUCGGAAGCUCGUCGGAAAGUUCGUUGGAAGUUCGCUGAGCUCACCGAGAAAGAUCAGAGCUUGCCGAAGAAGCUCGUUGGAACUCGCCAAGAUCAAAUCGUGAAGUCUAGGAGCUUGCCGGGAGUCCGCAGAAUGGUUUCCGAGAGUUUAUCGGAAGACCGUCGAAAGUUUGCCGAAAG
rnacentral:lncRNA from 1 species